GUUUGCUACCAUAUCAUGAUAAAUCCACUUAUUUUUCAUUUCUGUGGCAAAUCGGUGGCUAAAUUUGCUACCAUUUUUUUUGGUAGCAAAUUUUGGUCACAAUUGCCCAAUUUUCUAGUAGUGAGUCAAGCGUGCUCGGGUGGGAGUAGUACUAAGAUGGGUGACCUCCUGGGAAGUCUCCACCGGGGCGACCA
rnacentral:rRNA from 2 species